rnacentral:rRNA from 1 species
AGCGAACGCUGGCGGCAGGCCUAACACAUGCAAGUCGAACGAACCUUUCGGGGUUAGCGGCGGACGGGUGAGUAACACGUGGGAACGUGCCUUUAGGUUCGGAAUAACUCAGGGAAACUUGUGCUAAUACCGAAUGUGCCCUUCGGGGGAAAGAUUAAUCGCCUUUAGAGCGGCCCGCGUCUGAUUAGCUAGUUGGUUGAGGUAAUGGCUCACCAAGGCGACGAUCAGUAGCUGGUCUGAGAGGAUGAUCAGCCACAUUGGGACUGAGACUCGGCCCAAACGCGUGCGGGCGGCCGCAGGGGGGAGUCGUGCGGCGUGGGAGGAGGCGUGACGCAGCGAGGGGGGGUAAAUGGGUAUGGGCGUAGUAUUGAAAAAUUCUGGCGCAGGGGACGAAAGCGACGGUACCCGAAGAAGAAGCCCCGGCUAACGGAGGGCCAGCAGCCGCGGGAGAAGCGGAAGAUCACACGUAUGAUC